rnacentral:rRNA from 1 species
GACGAACGCUGGCGGCGUGCCUAACACAUGCAAGUCGAACGGGGUAAAGAGCUUCGGGUUUUUUACUUAGUGGCGAACGGGGUGAGUAACGCGUGAGAAACCUGCCUUUCAGUGGGGGACAACAGUUGGAAACGACUGCUAAUACCGCAUAACGUAUUCGAGCGGCAUCGCUUGAAUACCAAAGCUUUAUGUGCUGAAAGAUGGCCUCGCGUCUGAUUAGCUAGUUGGAGGGGUAACGGCCCACCAAGGCGACGAUCAGUAGCCGGUCUGAGAGGAUGAACGGCCACAUUGGGACUGAGAUACGGCCCAGACUCCUACGGGAGGCAGCAGUGGGGAAUAUUGGGCAAUGGGGGAAACCCUGACCCAGCAACGCCGCGUGAAGGAAGAAGGCUUCGGGUUGUAAACUUCUUUUACCAGGGACGAAGGACGUGACGGUACCUGGAGAAAAAGCAACGGCUAACUACGUG